rnacentral:rRNA from 1 species
UAGGGAAUAUUAGAAAUGGACGAAAGUCUGAUCUAGCAACACCGCGUGUGCGAAGAAGGCCUUCGGGUCGUAAAGCACUUUUUGGAAGGAAUAGGAAGGAAUGUACUUCCAGAAUAAGUCUCGGCUAACUACGUGCCAGCAGCCGCGGUAACACGUAGGAGGCGAACGUUAUCCGGAUUUACUGGGCGUAAAGCGCGUGUAGGUGGUUCUGUAAGUAGGGCGUGAAAGCUCCUGGCUCAACUGGGAGAGGCCGUUCUAAACUACAGAACUAGAGGAUGGUAGAGGGAUGUGGAAUUCCAGGUGUAGCGGUGGAAUGCGCAGAUAUCUGGAGGAACUCCGGUGGCGAAGGCAGACUCCUGGACCAUUCCUGACGCUCAUACGCGAAAGCUAGGGUAGCAAUCG